rnacentral:rRNA from 1 species
GAGUUUGAUCCUGNCUCAGAUUGAACGCUGGCGGCAGGCCUAACACAUGCAAGUCGAGCGGAAACGAGUUAACAGAACCUUCGGGGAACGUUAACGGCGUCGAGCGGCGGACGGGUGAGUAAUGCCUGGGAAAUUGCCCUGAUGUGGGGGAUAACCAUUGGAAACGAUGGCUAAUACCGCAUAAUAGCUUCGGCUCAAAGAGGGGGACCUUCGGGCCUCUCGCGUCAGGAUAUGCCCAGGUGGGAUUAGCUAGUUGGUGAGGUAAUGGCUCACCAAGGCGACGAUCCCUAGCUGGUCUGAGAGGAUGAUCAGCCACACUGGAACUGAGACACGGUCCAGACUCCUACGGGAGGCAGCAGUGGGGAAUAUUGCACAAUGGGCGCAAGCCUGAUGCAGCCAUGCCGCGUGUAUGAAGAAGGCCUUCGGGUUGUAAAGUACUUUCAGCAGUGAGGAAGGUGGGUAUGUUAAUAGCAUACUCAUUUGACGUUAGCUGCAGAAGAAGCACCGGCUAACUCCGUGCCAGCAGCCGCGGUAAUACGGAGGGUGCGAGCGUUAAUCGGAAUUACUGGGCGUAAAGCGCAUGCAGGUGGUUUUGUUAAGUCAGAUGUGAAAGCCCGGGGCUCAACCUCGGAAUUUGCAUUUGAAACUGGCAAACUANAGUACUGUAGAGGGGGGUAGAAUCCA